rnacentral:lncRNA from 1 species
CACGCCGCGCCGGGAAAGGGGAACGACGUGGCGGUGAGGUGGGGAUCACGACGUCGGCGUCGGCGUCGGCGUCGCUUCUUUGCCGAGGGCGUGGUCCUGGUUGCGACUCUUCGCGAGUUGAGAGAUAGAAACCGGCCUGAUACCGGUGCUACUCUCGACGCUGGAAAAUUUCUCGACACCAAGAUUUUCAAAGACUUAGCCACACUUCAAAAAUCAACUGAAGCGUUUCGUUAUUUAUCGUUGAUGUCACAACGAAAAUAUAUUCUCCUCGUGAGUUUCUGAAAUCGUGAAAUCGAUCCUACUGUGGUUGAAAGAGAGAAAACGAUGAUUCCAUUACAUUCGCUCGAGAUAAAGAAAGAAACGAUGAUACUCAAAGGUUUUAGCCUAUUGGAGUUGUCACUUUCUGUAGGCAAAUCCCCACUGAUAGAGAUUGAGUAGUACUAUUGACACAGUAUUUUCGCUUACAAUGCACCCUUGCCACAAAAGAAAAAGCUCGUCCACGAACACAACGUAAUGAAAAUACGUAAUUAAAAGCACGAAAAUUUAAAGAAGAUGUACACGAGAUAUACAAGAGAGAUAUAAAAAUAUUCCCAGGCAUAAUGCUAACACCAUGUAUCGUUCAUGAUUCAUAAAUAAGACGACAGCACGAUUUUCAACCUAACUCGAUACGAAUCGACAAACAGUCGGUGUUACGCCGCGGUUGCUAACCCUCGGAUUUCCCAGACGAAGCGAAACAACUCGUGCCAAAUACAGUUUAACACCGCUCGCAUCCCAAUAAGCGAACGCUCUUGAAAUAUUCCACGCUCUCGAUGGCCGAUGGGUGGACGCUGGUGAUGGAAUGAUGGAAGAAAUAGGAAAUUACGAUUGGAUGAAAAUUCGAGAAUUUUUCGUUUCCGGGUAUUUAUGAAAGUACGAUCUUCUCAAAAAAAAAAACGAAAUCGAUAGUUUAAGAGUAAAUUUGGACGUUGAUGGAGCACAGUUCGAGCAACUUUAUCAGAAUUUUUAUACGGACAUUCUUUCUCUGCAACCAUUUUUCUUCGAAACCGAUUGCGUCAAAAUAAAAAUCUACAAAGUGAAUUGUGAGAAAAGUUUGCAAACUUUCGAUCGUUCGGAGGGAAUAAAAUUGAUGCAUAAUUAAACGGAACUUGUUCGAGAAGGAUAAUAACUGGGAAGGUGUUCUAAACUUCGAUAAACGAUAGCGAAUGACCCCGAAAAAUCCACGUGGCAUAGGUCAGCGAACUCGUCUUCGAGAGAGGAUUACACGCAUGCAUAGUUAAAAGAAAAACACGCGUUCAUUCACACGUUUCGAAUUUCGAAACUUCUCCCUCAUCUCCGGGAGAAAAAUUAUAAUUCGAAAACAAAUAUCUCCUCCCGAGAAUAGAAUGAAUCCUCAAUCCUUUAUUUAUAUUUAUAAAAUCGAGCUCAAUAUUUUCUCUUAAAAAAAAAAUAAAAAUAAAAAUUAAAAGUCCAAAAGUCCAAAAAAUUUUCAAAAUACCAAAUAUCGAUUUUAACAAUUGAAGAGAAGAUGGGGAAUAAAAAAAAAAAAGUGGCCGAAUAUAUUUCAACAUGAACAUAUUUCAACAUGAUUCCAGUUAACAAAUGUUUUUUUUUUUUUUUUUCAAAAAUUAUCUUUAAUGCCAAACACGCGUGAAACGUGCGAAUUGAUGGUUAACAAAUUCCAAUUAACGAUAAACGACGAGAAUCAAUUUAUCCGUUUCGGCAAAGCUUUUACGCGUGUAACAAAAAUCAUUCUCGAUCGACAACGUGACGUGGAUUAUCGAAAUUUUCCGUUUUAAUACGGAUCGUUGAGUGUGUGUGUGUGUGUGCAAAGUAUGAAAAUGGAGACGAGGAUUUGAUAGACGCGUAACAUUGGCAAAAAUAAACUGUAAGUGGCAAGAUGCAACUUCCUGUUUCAGUUACGUAAGCGGCUAGCUUGUCUUCAUUCAUUAGCUGUUGCGCUAACAAUAAGUCCAAAGUCAAAAAAGUAUUUUUAACUUUAUUGUCUGCGUGUGAAAAUCAGUGGACAUUACUUUUCUAUUUAUAAUACAUUUGUAUUUCGAUUUCAUAUUUUUUUCUUUUUUUUUUUUUAUACGGCAAAUCUUGCAACGCGAUGUUCAUUCUAUAUUGAAAGAUAAUAUAAAUAAUAAAAAUUGUUAGAUUUUGAAAGUAA